UAUCUUCAUCACCCACGACUCGGCCGAUCCCGACUCGGUGAUUCCCCUCCUUUCCCCCGCUCAGUCAACUCGGGUCGACCGACUUCACCAGACCAGCGAGUUAGUCUUCCGGUUCGAGCCGUUGAUCAUUGCCCUGGGAUGCAAAGACUUGUGUUCGGCUCAGUUUCUUGUGUCGGCGGCUAUAGCCGCCGGGUUCAGGGAGUCAGGGAUCACCUCUUGCGGCGAUGGCAAAAGGGUAAUUAUUGCUAUACGAUGCUCGAUAAGAAUGGAGGUUCCUCUGGGAGAUACUCACAAGCUUAUGGUCUCGCCUGAGUAUGUGAGGUUCCUUGUUCACAUUGUCAUUGUCAAUGAGAAAAUGGAAGCCAAUAGGAAACGAACUGAUGGGUUUCUUCUAUCCUUCCGAAGUAAUGGUUUCACGGAUCUUUUUGGCUUGUGCUGAUCACAUUAUAUGUCCGUUUGGAGUCUGAUGUAAUUUCCUCUGCCCAUAAGAUGGUUUCACUUCCUGACAAACAUCACAUGUCGUCGCUGGAAAGUAAGAGUGGAGAUCGAGAAGGUGAAGUGGUACGCUCCUCGUAUUCGCCGUCUUGUUGCGACGUGAAGCAGGGACUGCCCUUAUAUCAUAAUGUCUCGAACUGGAAAACCGGAGCGAUAAACCGGUUUCUGCAACAUGAACUAACCGCUAAACCAGCGGUUCCGUACGGAUCGGUAUCUCUCGCGUAUAUCUUUUUAUAUUUGUGUUUCACAUUUCGUCCUGCACAUUAAUGGCGUUGGACGACUGACGACGAAGUUAUAACCAUGUUUUGGUUAUUUAAUUAUUUAGUGAUUAUAUUUAACGACGGAGUAGGCCCCACUAUUAAUCAGUCUGCGGCCCAUGGGCUCAAUAUGAAAGCAGUGGGCCUAUUUGUUUAAAUCGAUGUAGAAAUGUUGUUAGUUCUAUUUCGUUUUCAUGAUGGCACGUCACGUGGAGUCUUUCGAGAUGGAUGACAGCGGAGCGUCCGUAUAUACCCUUUGAAUUAAUUAACUGGCGAUGGAUUUAUCUCUGUAUUUUUUAAUAUUUUUACAUUGCUAAGGAAUGAAUGUGGGGAUACAUGUCAGAUGAGCGUUGAAUCGAGGAAGUGAAAAUUAAAUUCCAAAAAUACCCUUUGAUUUGAACAUAUCUACCUAUCUAUCUGCAGCUGGCAAUCUCCUCUCCUCACCAUCUCUCCGCGGCAGAGCCCUUCUGGUUCUGACCGAAGAAAGAACCCUCUCCUCUCAUCAGCUCCCCAUCCAUACGGCGCUUUUCGUUUUCUGUCGACCAGAUCCUGAUGACCUGGCCAUCCACCGGCGCUCGAGUCGGCACGACAUGUCUGUAAGAUCUGGAUAACCUGGCCACCGGUGCUCGAGUCUAAGACUGAAUAAAAAGUCUCUCCCUUAUCCCUUUCUUCCUUGCGCUCGGAGGCUCUGCUGGGAUCUUCCGUUUUCUGUCGACCAGAUCCGGAUAACCUGGCCACAGGUGCUCGAGUCUAAGGUAAAAUCGUAUCUGUUAUUGCAAAUCUUGAUCCUUAGACUGAAUAAAAAACCUCUCCCUUAUCCCUUUCUUCCUUGCGCUCGGAGAGAUCGGUGGGAUCUUCCGUUUUCUGUCGACCAGAUCCGGAUAACCUGGCCACAGGUGCUCGAGUCUAAGGCUCUGCUGGGGAUCUUCCGUUUUCUGUCGACCAGAUCCGGAUAACCUGGCCACCAGUGCUCGAGUCUAAGGUAAUUCCGUAUCUGUUAUUGCAAAGCUUGACCCUGAGCCUGAAUAAAAAACCUCUCCCUUAUCCCUUUCUUCCUUGCUCUCGGAGGCUCUUCUGGGAUCUUCCGUUUUCUGUCGACCAGAUCCGGAUAAUCUUGAUCCUGAUGCUCUGAGUCUAAUGUAAUUUCGUAUCUGUUAUUGCUAAUCUUGAUACUGAGCCUAGAGAAAAACCAUUCUUCAUAUCCCCUCGCUCAUAGGGCUUCCCGUAUUGUUUUUUGAGAAUAAGUCUCGCUAGACCGGAAUGAUUAUCUCUACCCGAUGUCGAUGUCGCUGGGCGUCACGUUAUCUCUAGUUGCAAAAUAGCAAAUCCUAUUGUAUUUCAUUAUGAAAAAAGAAAUACAAGUUUGAUAAAAUUGAUUAUA